AAAUAGAAGUCAUUCCUACUUGUGACGCAGAUCGCACUGAAAGUCCUGCCUCUCCCAUCUCCUCAUUGGUUUAUAGAAGCAGGUACCCACGUGCCAUCUCCUCAUUGGUUAUACCCACGUGGGUGAUUGAAAGAUGAACUUUGUUGCCGGUUGUCGUGGUAAUACUAUGAAAGUUUAGAUGCGAUCACCAUAUAAGUUCAAAGAUGAAAAAGCCUGGAAGGAGGAGAGAUGACUAGAAACGAUUCGGUUGGCCGUUAUAUGUGUGGAUUAAUUGUCGGAGUAGAGGAGUUUGUGCAUUUCAGGCAUAGUACUAUGAAGGCCCAACUGAUCUCGACAACAGAAAUUCACAAUUCAGGGCAAUCACAUGCGGGGGAAGGAUGGCCAGCCACACAGGAGGCUGCUUUUCACUAAGGACGAGAAGGAGGCCGUGCUGACCGAAAUGCAUGCUUGCCAUUUUGGAGUGAAGCGCAUGAUUGCCAAAAUCAACCUACGCUUCUUCUGAUGGGGAAUUGUCAACGAGAUGGACAGCUGGGCAAGUGAAAUUACCUUUUGUUUAUCAGUCACAUUCUAUUAUAUCUGAAAUUAUUAUGAUUUCAAUUACUGUCAUAAUCAAAGAACACACAAUGUUUAAAUUUGUCACUUUGUUCUUAAAACACUUUGUGUCUAGCCUACCAGAAGUUUGAGAGGGUGAAGACUGUGGCGCUGGAGUUGAAACCCAUCAGUUGUUUCACCAUGGCACAUGAUCAGGCGUAGACAACAUCGGACACUUCACGAAAUCUAGGAAUGGCAACAGCUGGUGUCUGACGACGACCGAUCUCUUUACCAAGUGGAUGGAGGCAAUACCCAUUAAGGAUGAGACUGGCGAGGCCACCUCCAAGGUGACGAUGGACAUCUUCAACACCCACGGUUUUAGGCUGUGUUCAUCUUGAGUGACCGAGGUCGUGAACUCUGGAACAAGGCACAGCUGUUAUAGGUUAUAUUCUGUCACCCAACGGUUUGUUUUGUUUCUCUUUUUAAAUUUGUUUUUGUUUUUCUAUGGUACAUAGUCAGACAUACACUACAUGACCAAAAGUAUGUGGACACCUGCUUGUCGAACAUCUCAUUCCAAAAUCAUAUGCAUUAAUAUGAAGUUUGUCCCCCCUUUGCUGCUAUAACAGCCUCCACUCUUAUGGGAAGACUUUCCACUAGAUGUUGGAACAUUGCUGUGGGGACUUAAUUCCAUUCAGCCACCUGAGAAUUAGUGAGGUCUGGCACUGAUGUUGGCCGAUUAGGCCUGGCUCGCAGUCGGCGUUCCAUUUCAAAUCAAAGGUGUUCGAUGGGGUUGAAGUCAGCGCUCUGUGCAGGCCAGUCAAGUUCUUCCACACUGAUCUUGACAAACCAUUUCUGGAUGGACCUCGCUUUAUGCUCGGGGGCAUUGUCAUGCUGAAACAGGAAAGGGACUUCCCCAAACUGUUGCCAAAUGGUUGGAAGCACAGAAUCGUCUAGCAUGUCAUUGUAUGCUGUAGCGUUAAGAAGCCGGUUGGAUGUACUGCCAAAUUCUCUCAAUGUACAUUCAAUUCUUUGGCAACAGCUCUGGUGGACAUUCCUGCAGUCAGCAUUCCAAUUGCACGCUCCCUCAACUUGAGACAUCUGUGGCAUUGUGUUGUGUGACAAAACUGCACAUUUUAGAAUGGCCUUUUAUUGUCCCCAGCACAAGGUGCAUCUGUGUAAUGAUAAUUCCAGGGUUUUUCUUUAUUUUUACUAUUUCCUACAUUGUAGAAUAAUAGUGAAGACAUCAAAACUAUGAAAUAACACAUGGAAUCGUGUAGUAACCAAAAAAGUGUUAUUCAAAGUAGCCACCCUUUGCCUUGAUGACAGCUUUAAACACUCUUGGCAUUCCCUCAACCAGCUUCAUGAGGUAGUCACCUGGAAUUCCUUUCAAUUAAUAGGUGUGCCUUGUUAAAAUAUAAUUUGUGGUAUUUCUUUCCUUCUUGAGCCAAUCAUUUGUGUUGUGACAUGGUAGGGGUGGUUAUACAGAAGAAGCCCUAAUUGGUAAAAAACCAAGUCCAUAUUAUGGCAAGAACAGCUCAAAUAAGCAAAGAGAAAUGAUAGUUCAUCAUUACUUUAAGGUCAGUCAAUGCGGAAAAAUUUAAGAACUUUGAAAGUUUUUUCAAGUGCAGUCGCAAAAAUCAUCAAGCGCUAUGAUGAAACUGGCUCUCAUGAGGACCGCCACAGGAAUGGAAGAACCAGAAUUACCUCUGCUGCAGAGGUUAAGUUCAUUGGAGUUACCAACCUCAGAAAUUGCAGCCCAAAUAAAUGCUUCAAGUAACAGACACAUCAACAUCAACUGUUCAGAGGAGACUGUGUGAAUCAGGCCUUCAUGGUAGAAUUGCUGUAAAUAAACCACCACUAAAGGACACCAAUAAUAAGAAGAGACUUGCUUGGGCCAAGAAACACGAGCAAAGGACAUUAGACCAGUGGAAAUAUGUUUUUUUUUGGUUCCAACCGCCAUGUCUUUGUGAGAUGCAGAGUAGGUGAAUGGAUGAUCUCAGAAUGUGUGGUUCCCACCGUGAAGCAUGGAGGAGGUGGUGUGAUGGUGCUUUGCUGGUGACACUGUCAGUGAUUUAUUUAGAAUUCAAUGCACACUUAACCAGCAUGGCUCCCACAGCAUUCUGCAGUGAUACGCCAUCCCAUGUGGUUUGGUUUUCAACAGGACAAUGACCCAACACACCUCCAGGCUGUGUAAGGGCUAUUUGACCAAGAAGGAGAGUGAUGGAGUGCUGCAUCAGAUGACCUGGCCUCCACAAUCACACGACCUCAUCCCAAUUUAGAUGGUUUGGGAUGAGUUGGACCGCAGAGUGAAGUAAAAGCAGCCAACAAGUGCUCAGCAUAUGUGGGAACUCCUUCGAGACUGUAGGAAAAGUGUUCCAGGUGAAGAUGUUUGAGAGAAUGCCAAGAGUGUGCGAAGCUGUCAUCAAGGAAAAGGGUGGCUACUUCGAAGAAUCUCAAAUCCAAAAUAAAUCUUGCUGUGGUUAACACUUUUUUGGUUACUACAUGAUUCCAUAUGUUAUUCCCUCGUUUUGAUGUCUUUACUGUUCUUCUGCAAUGUAGAAAAUAGUCAAAAGAAAGAAAAAGCAGGUGUGUCCAAACUUUUGACUGGAACUGUAUGUACUUUUUUUGUUGCCUGUUUUGCAUGUUAUUUCGGCAUUCAUUUGUAUCACAAAUCAGUGUGCAAACAAUGUAAAAAAAAGUUUAAAAGGUAAUAAAGCCACAAAAACAUGGUCGUUUUUU